AAGUUUACAAAUUUGUGUUGGACCACAUUCAAAGCUGUCCUGGGUGGCAUGAGAACCAUGGGCUGAGGAUUGGACAAGCUUGCUCUACAAUAUUCACAGAGCCAGAUUUCCUUCUGCACCAGAGCCUGUGGAAGCGCCACAGUGGAAGCAGCAGAGACUGGAAGAGCAGGCCACAGAUCAGCCCUGGGGUUCAGAGGGAUCCUGACAGCUACUCCUCAAGAUCCUCUCUGUUGUGAUUCAUCCCCCCGGGGCCCUACAGUUUCUCCUUCCUGACUCUUACAUUUCUUUGGAUGGCAUCAUUAUUGCUGGAGUGCAGUGAUGUGAUCUCGGCUCACUGCAACCCCUGCCUCCUGGAUUCAAGCAAUUCUCCUGCCUCACCCUCCCAAGUAGCUGGGAUUACAGUACCUGUCUCCUCCCAUAGUUAGGUGCCAAGCACUGUGGAUUCUGCCUCUCAGUGUCCAGACACCCAUUUUCCUUCCCACUGUUCCUUCCCCAUGGAGAAGCCUGUGGCUGGCUGACAGCAGAGAGAGAUGCUCAACUUGGAGAAGGUGUUACCUGGGCCAGGUGGGGAAGGUUUGUUUGCAGAGCAAAGAAGUGAAGGAAGUAUUAACCCUUUGCAUGGCCUCCUGAGAAUCCGACAAGACGUAAAUAGCCAAGAAUAUCUGUGAAACUUCAUCACUGAGUUACAAUAUUUAUCACUGCAAGUGUGUUGUUCAUUGACACUAUAAAGCCAUGUGGAAUUAAGCAGCCUUGAAACACAAAAUGGAGAAAGGCUAAGAGCUGAGAAUUGUUGCCUUCAGGGAAAUACAAUCAAUGUCAAGCA
rnacentral:lncRNA from 1 species